rnacentral:rRNA from 1 species
UGCAAGUCGAACGCUGAUCCCCGGCCUCGGUCGGGGUGAUGAGUGGCGAACGGGUGAGUAAUACGUGAGUAACCUGCCCUUGACUCUGGGAUAAGCCUGGGAAACCGGGUCUAAUACUGGAUACGACUCCUCAUCGCAUGGUGGGGGGUGGAAAGGGUUUCACUGGUUUUGGAUGGGCUCACGGCCUAUCAGCUGGUUGGUGGGGUAAUGGCUCACCAAGGCGACGACGGGUAGCCGGCCUGAGAGGGUGACCGGCCACACUGGGACUGAGACACGGCCCAGACUCCUACGGGAGGCAGCAGUGGGGAAUAUUGCACAAUGGGCGCAAGCCUGAUGCAGCGACGCCGCGUGAGGGAUGACGGCCUUCGGGUUGUAAACCUCUUUCAGUAGGGAAGAAGCGAAAGUGACGGUACCUGCAGAAGAAGCGCCGGCUAACUACGUGCCAGCAGCCGCGGUAAUACGUAGGGCGCAAGCGUUGUCCGGAAUUAUUGGGCGUAAAGAGCUCGUAGGCGGUUUGUCGCGUCUGCUGUGAAAGCCCGGGGCUCAACCCCGGGUCUGCAGUGGGUACGGGCAGACUAGAGUGCAGUAGGGGAGACUGGAAUUCCUGGUGUAGCGGUGAAAUGCGCAGAUAUCAGGAGGAACACCGAUGGCGAAGGCAGGUCUCUGGGCUGUUACUGACGCUGAGGAGCGAAAGCAUGGGGAGCGAACAGGAUUAGAUACCCUGGUAGUCCAUGCCGUAAACGUUGGGCACUAGGUGUGGGGGGCAUUCCACGUUCUCCGCGCCGUAGCUAACGCAUUAAGUGCCCCGCCUGGGGAGUACGGCCGCAAGGCUAAAACUCAAAGGAAUUGACGGGGGCCCGCACAAGCGGCGGAGCAUGCGGAUUAAUUCGAUGCAACGCGAAGAACCUUACCAAGGCUUGACAUCCACCGGACCGCCCCAGAGAUGGGGUUUCCCUUCGGGGUCGGUGGACAGGUGGUGCAUGGUUGUCGUCAGCUCGUGUCGUGAGAUGUUGGG